GUGGGGAAUAUUGGGCAAUGGGGGCAACCCUGACCCAGCAACGCCGCGUGAGGGAAGAAGGUUUUCGGAUUGUAAACCUCUGUCCUAUGGGAAGAAGGAAGUGACGGUACCAUAGGAGGAAGCCCCGGCUAACUACGUGCCAGCAGCCGCGGUAAUACGUAGGGGGCGAGCGUUGUCCGGAAUUACUGGGCGUAAAGGGUGCGCAGGUGGCCUGACAAGUCAGAUGUGAAAUACCGAUGCUUAACGUCGGGGCUGCAUUUGAAACUAUGAGGCUGGAGUGCAGGAGAGGGAAGCGGAAUUCCUAGUGUAGCGGUGAAAUGCAUAGAUAUUAGGAGGAACACCAGUGGCGAAGGCGGCUUUCUGGACUGUAACUGACACUGAGGCACGAAAGCGUGGGGAGCAAACAGGAUUAGAUACCCUUGUAGUCC
rnacentral:rRNA from 1 species